rfam:Exophiala spinifera strain CBS 89968 unplaced genomic scaffold supercont1.1, whole genome shotgun sequence.
GCCCCUUUAGCCCAGUUGGUAGAGCGCGACACUAGUACGAUCAAGUAAACCGGUAUGUCGAGGUCAAUGGUUCGAAUCCAUUAGGGGGCA